rnacentral:rRNA from 1 species
GACGAACGCUGGCGGCGUGCUUAACACAUGCAAGUCGAACGGAAAGGCCCUGCUUGCAGGGUACUCGAGUGGCGAACGGGUGAGUAACACGUGGGUGAUCUGCCCUGCACUUCGGGAUAAGCCUGGGAAACUGGGUCUAAUACCGGAUAGGAGCCAUUUUUAGUGUGAUGGUUGGAAAGUUUUUUCGGUGUAGGGUGAGCUCGCGGCCUAUCAGCUUGUUGGUGGGGUAAUGGCCUACCAAGGCGGCGACGGGUAGCCGGCCUGAGAGGGUGGACGGCCACAUUGGGACUGAGAUACGGCCCAGACGCCUACGGGAGGCAGCAGGGGGGAAUAUUGCACAAUGGGCGCAAGCCUGAUGCAGCGACGCCGCGUGGGGGAUGACGGCCUUCGGGUUGUAAACUCCUUUCGCUAGGGACGAAGCUUUUUGUGACGGUACCUAGAUAAGAAGCACCGGCUAACUACGUG